rnacentral:rRNA from 1 species
AUUGAACGCUGGCGGAAUGCUUUACACAUGCAAGUCGAACGGUAGAGGGGGCAACCCCUCGAGAGUGGCGAACGGGUGAGUAAUAUAUCGGAACGUGCCCAGUCGUGGGGGAUAACGUAGCGAAAGUUACGCUAAUACCGCAUACGAUCUAAGGAUGAAAGCGGGGGAUCGCAAGACCUCGCGCGAUUGGAGCGGCCGAUAUCAGAUUAGGUAGUUGGUGGGGUAAAGGCUCACCAAGCCAACGAUCUGUAGCUGGUCUGAGAGGACGACCAGCCACACGGGAACUGAGACACGGUCCAGACUCCUACGGGAGGCAGCAGUGGGGAAUUUUGGACAAUGGACGCAAGUCUGAUCCAGCCAUUCCGCGUGCAGGAUGAAGGCCCUCGGGUUGUAGACUGCUUUUGUACGGAACGAAAAGGUCUCUCUUAAUACGGGGGGCUCAUGACGGUACCGUAAGAAUAAGCACCGGCUAACUACGUGCCAGCAGCCGCUGUAA